ensembl:lncRNA
AAACUAGAUGAAGACUUGAAUGCAUUUCCUUGCUGAGAAUGGAGCUCACUCUUCCUGGAUAUUGCACAGGCCAAAAACAGUAUCCUGAGACCUACUACGAUACUUACGAGGAGCAACACGGUUUAAGAAUAUUUAGGAAUACUUUUCAUCUGAGAUAUCAAAGAGAAAAAUGUUUGAUGUUGUGCAGAGAUCUUCCUGAACUUUGGACAGCAGAAUUCAGCCCCCUUUAGAUAUUGAAAAGCCGCUCUCAGGACUCCCUGCAGCCUUCUCUUCUCCAGGCUUAACAGCCUCAGCUCUCUCAGCCCAUCCUUGUUGGUGUUCCAUCCCUUGGAUCAUUUUUGUGGCCCUCCUCUGGACAUGUGUCAGAGAUGGCUUAUGGUGACCUCAUAGCUCUCUACUGAUAGUGAGAGACACAACUCUACAACAAGGGAAACAUGACUGGAUUAAGGAAAACAUUGCAGAGGGAGCGAGGUCAGAGGCCCACAGAGGUUCUGGAGCGUCCAUCCUCAGAGGAGUUCACAUUUCAUUUGGACACAUCCCUAUAACAUCCAGCAUAACUUUUUUACUGGCCCUGCUUUGAGCAGGGUUGCGCCAAAUGGACUCUUGAAGUCCCUUCCAGACUCUUAUGUCCACCAUCUUUUUUUCUUGGACAUCUUUGUGCUAGACAAUUUUUGGAAACAUUGUGAUUGAUGGCUUCGAUGAAUGGAUCCGUCUGGUCUGACAAAAGCUGAAAUGCCCUGAUCAAAUCCCAGAUCACCAGGUUCAGUGUAACAUAUACUUACAACAUCUUUUACUCACUACCAACCUGACACUUAGAGCUACAGCAGAAUGUAGAGCAGCCUGAAGGACCAAAAUGCAAUCUGGAUCUGCCUGAGAAGGUAUUCAGCUUUCUUCCAUUUCCAGUGGAGAAGCAUAAGCCUGCCUGAGCUGAAGGCUGGAGGAAUUUUAUCAUUGGUGGACUGAUGAUGGAAGACCAUAGAGGGUCCAAACUUGGAGUGUGUUUGUUUCAUUUUGACAGACAGAUCUGGCCCAUGCUUCAUGUUACUUAUGGGACUAGUGGAAGAUCAAUAAAUCCAUCUACAAAAGCGUUUCAGGAUUUUGCAUUAGCAUAACAUUUAGCACGCUGUUUUUUUGCAGCCUCACUCAUGGGCUGCCCUGCCACCUCUCCUAAGCAUUUUGCUGUUGCCUGAACUGCUCAAGAUUUUCUGAUUGCCCCUCUCUCUCUCUUUCAUUCACCAGGCAAAACAAAGGCAGCUUUUUAGAAAAAGUACACAGGUUAGAUAUUAGGAAUUUUUUUUUUCUCAGAAAGAGUAGUGAGGCAGUGGCACAGGCUGCCCAGGAAGGUGGUUGAGUCAUGAUCCCUGGAGGUGUUCAAGAGCUGUGGAGAUGUGGCACUGAAGGACAUGGCUGGUGAAUGUGGUGGGGAUGAGUUGGCAGUUGGACUAGGUGAUCUUAGAGGUUUUUCCAACCUUAAUGACUCUAAGAUCAUUUCCUUCUUCUGUCCCAUCAUUUCUGAGCACAUUUAUUCUGAAUAACUGGAGAAUGUAUUUUUAAAAAGCCUUUGCUUGAAGGGUACUUUGUAGUUCAACUUUCAGUAUUUUUCAAUUAUAAUUUUAACUGGAC